AGAGUUUGAUCCUGGCUCAGGAUGAACGCUAGCGGCAGGCUUAAUACAUGCAAGUCGAGGGGCAGCACAGUAUAGCAAUAUAUGGGUGGCGACCGGCAAACGGGUGCGUAACACGUACGCAACUUACCCUUUACUGGGAGAUAGCCCAGGGAAACUUGGAUUAAUAUCCCAUAUUGCAGAGAAUCGGCAUCGAUUUUCUGCCAAAGUUCCGACGGUAAAGGAUGGGCGUGCGGUUGAUUAGGUAGUUGGCGGGGUAACGGCCCACCAAGCCUACGAUCAAUAGCUGAUGUGAGAGCAUGAUCAGCCACACGGGCACUGAGACACGGGCCCGACUCCUACGGGAGGCAGCAGUAAGGAAUAUUGGGCAAUGGACGCAAGUCUGACCCAGCCAUGCCGCGUGAAGGAUGAAGGCCCUCUGGGUUGUAAACUUCUUUUAUCUGGGGCGAAAGGCGGUUAUUCUUAGCCGUUUGACAGUACCAGAGGAAUAAGCACCGGCUAACUCCGUGCCAGCAGCCGCGGUAAUACGGAGGGUGCAAGCGUUAUCCGGAUUCACUGGGUUUAAAGGGUGCGUAGGUGGAUCUGUAAGUCAGAGGUGAAAUCCCCGAG
rnacentral:rRNA from 1 species